rnacentral:rRNA from 1 species
GAUGAACGCUAGCGGCAGGCCUAACACAUGCAAGUCGAGGGGUAACUAGAGUGAUAGCAAUAUUACUUUGGCUAGACCGGCGCACGGGUGCGUAACACGUAUGCAACCUACCUUAUACUGGGGAAUAACUUCGAGAAAUCGGCGCUAAUACCCCAUAACACUGCGGAGAGGCAUCUCUUUGCAGUUAAAGCUCCGGCGGUAUAAGAUGGGCAUGCGUCCAAUUAGCUAGUUGGUGAGGUAACGGCUCACCAAGGCUACGAUUGGUAGGGGUUCUGAGAGGAUGAUCCCCCACACUGGUACUGAGACACGGACCAGACUCCUACGGGAGGCAGCAGUGAGGAAUAUUGCGCAAUGGACGAAAGUCUGACGCAGCCAUGCCGCGUGCAGGAUGACGGCCCUAUGGGUUGUAAACUGCUUUUGUACGGGAAUAAACCCUUCUACGUGUAGGAGGCUGAAGGUACCGUAAGAAUAAGCACCGGCUAACUCCGUGCCAGCCGCCGCGGUAA